GAUGAACGCUGGCGGCGUGCCUAAUACAUGCAAGUCGAGCGAACAGACGAGGAGCUUGCUCCUCUGACGUUAGCGGCGGACGGGUGAGUAACACGUGGAUAACCUACCUAUAAGACUGGGAUAACUUCGGGAAACCGGAGCUAAUACCGGAUAAUAUAUUGAACCGCAUGGUUCAAUAGUGAAAGACGGUUUUGCUGUCACUUAUAGAUGGAUCCGCGCCGCAUUAGCUAGUUGGUAAGGUAACAGCUUACCAAGGCAACGAUGCGUAGCCGACCUGAGAGGGUGAUCGGCCACCCUGGAACUGAGACACGGUCCAGACUCCUACGGGAGGCAGCAGUAGGGAAUCUUACGCAAUGGGCGAAAGCCUGACGGAGCAACGCCGCGUGAGUGAUGAAGGUCUUCGGAUCGUAAAACUCUGUUAUUAGGGAAGAACAAAUGUGUAAGUAACUAUGCACGUCUUGACGGUACCUAAUCAGAAAGCCACGGCUAGCUACGUG
rnacentral:rRNA from 1 species